GGGCUUGUGGUUUAGUGGUGUAAGUUCACACAUUAAAAAUCGCAGUUCGAACUGUAACUAAUCCAGAAAUUAGAUAAUACUCCCUUAGCAUCUAAUGUGGGAGUGGUCCGGGGUUCGAUUCCCCGCGAGUCCA
rnacentral:tRNA from 1 species